rnacentral:rRNA from 1 species
AGAGUUUGAUCCUGGCUCAGGAUGAACGCUGGCGGCGUGCCUAACACAUGCAAGUCGAACGAAGCGCCUGCGGCGGACCCCUCCGGGGGAAAGCCGCGGGGGACUGAGUGGCGGACGGGUGAGCAACGCGUGGGCAACCUGCCCCGUACCGGGGGACAACAGCCGGAAACGGCUGCUAAUACCGCAUAUUCCCGCGGGGCCGCAUGGCCCUGCGGGGAAAGCUCCGGCAGUACGGGAUGGGCCCGCGUCUGAUUAGCUUGUUGGCGGGGUAACGGCCCACCAAGGCUGCGAUCAGUAGCCGGCCUGAGAGGGCGGCCGGCCACAUUGGGACUGAGACACGGCCCAGACUCCUGCGGGAGGCAGCAGUGGGGGAUAUUGCACAAUGGGGGGAACCCUGAUGCAGCGACGCCGCGUGAACGAAGAAAUAUUUCGGUAUGUAAAGUUCUAUCAGCAGGGAAGAAAAUGACAGUACCCUGACCAAGAAGCCCCGGCUAACUACGUGCCAGCAGCCGCGGUAAUACGUAGGGGGCGAGCGUUAUCCGGAUUCACUGGGCCUAAAGGGAGCGCAGGCGGCACGGCAAUUAGGGUGUGAAAGCCCGGGGGCCCAACCCCGGGACUGCAUUGGAAACUUCCUGGCUGGAGUGUCGGAGGGGCAGGCGGAAUUCCUAGUGUAGCGGUGAAAUGCGUAGAUAUUAGGAGGAACACCGGUGGCGAAGGCGGCCUGCUGGACGACGACUGACGUUGAGGCUCGAAAGCGUGGGGAGCAAACAAAAUUAGAUACCCUGGUUGUCCACCCCGUAAAC